AGAGUUUGAUCCUGGCUCAGGAUGAACGCUAGCGACAGGCUUAACACAUGCAAGUCGAGGGGCAGCAUGGUUUGUAGCAAUACAGAUUGAUGGCGACCGGCGCACGGGUGAGUAACGCGUAUGCAACUUACCUAUCAGAGGGGGAUAGCCCGGCGAAAGUCGGAUUAAUACCCCAUAAAACAGGGUCCCGCAUGGGAAUAUUUGUUAAAGAUUCAUCGCUGAUAGAUAGGCAUGCGUUCCAUUAGGCAGUUGGCGGGGUAACGGCCCACCAAACCGACGAUGGAUAGGGGUUCUGAGAGGAAGGUCCCCACAUUGGUACUGAGACACGGACCAAACUCCUACGGAGCA
rnacentral:rRNA from 1 species